rnacentral:rRNA from 1 species
AGUGAACGCUGGCGGUAGGCCUAACACAUGCAAGUCGAACGGCAGCACAGUAAGAGCUUGCUCUUACGGGUGGCGAGUGGCGGACGGGUGAGGAAUACAUCGGAAUCUACUUUUUCGUGGGGGAUAACGUAGGGAAACUUACGCUAAUACCGCAUACGACCUACGGGUGAAAGCAGGGGAUCUUCGGACCUUGCGCGAUUGAAUGAGCCGAUGUCGGAUUAGCUAGUUGGCGGGGUAAAGGCCCACCAAGGCGACGAUCCGUAGCUGGUCUGAGAGGAUGGUCAGCCACACUGGGACUGAGACACGGUCCAGACUCCUACGGGAGGCAGCAGUGGGGAAUAUUGGACAAUGGGCGCAAGCCUGAUCCAGCCAUACCGCGUGGGUGAAGAAGGCCUUCGGGUUGUAAAGCCCUUUUGUUGGGAAAGAGAAGCAGCAGGUUAAUACCCCGCUGUUCUGACGGUACCCAAAGAAUAAGCACCGGCUAACUUCGUG